CACUCGGCACUACACAACACCGCGAUUUGGCUAUAAAUGCGUUGCCUACGUAGUAAACAGCGUUAAACACUCUUAGAAUAUACGGAGAAAAAGCUUUUUGAAGAAGAUAAACUUUUUUUGAAGCAACAUGGACAAGCCGGCAUGCAAAUGCGGAGAUCCCAAGUGCGUGUGCACCACACAGUGCAAGUGUGCCACCGGCGGAUGCCCCUGUGGCAGGUGCAAGAAGUAGCAGCUCGCCUGGGAGACUCCGGUGCUUGAACCAUGGACGUUUCAAGUCGGCCUCAAACAUGAACGGGCGCGGCAAAGAAAAAAAAAUGAAAUGCAGUAGCUAUUCUUGUUUUGAGAGCCAAUAAAAAAAGAAAGAAAAUGUA